rnacentral:rRNA from 1 species
GACAGAGGGUGCAAACGUUGCUCGGAAUUACUGGGCGUAAAGCGCGUGUAGGCGGGCCGACAAGUCAGAUGUGAAAUCCCUGGGCUCAACCCAGGAACUGCAUUUGAAACUGUCGGCCUUGAGUGGUGGAGAGGGAAGCGGAAUUCCUGGUGUAGAGGUGAAAUUCGUAGAUAUCAGGAGGAACACCGGUGGCGAAGGCGACUUCCUGGACACCAACUGAACGCUGAGA